GCCCGAUGAACCUGAAUAUCCGUUAUGGAAAAUUCAUCAUUAGAAUUGUAAUGUUUAAAAAAUAUUAUAAUAAUAGUGUGCAUUUUUUCCAUAUAAGGACAUUGUAAUCUAUUAGCAUAUUAAUUUAUCAUACAUUUAUGUCAUUUUGUUUGUUUCAAUUAAAGUGCUUGCAUUUUAACAUGAAAUAAAAGUUGUAAUAUUGAUAAAGUGCUGAUAGAUUUAUAAGAUUACAGUGCGUUAAUUUUUCGGAAUUAUAUAAUGGCAUGAUUAUCAUUGAUUUUUAUGUUUAUUAUAUGCACUUGUAUGAUUAACAAUGCGAAAGAUUCAGGAUACUUCGGG
rnacentral:rRNA from 1 species